CAAACUACAGCUGAGAAGACAUGGACUACACUGGAGAUAAACUACAAAUGUUUGGUUUGAUGAUCCCCAAAUGAACAACAGCAGAGAGAGGCCAAGAAUGGAAUCGGGACAUGAUCAGAAUUCAAACCUGCAUUUCUCCCACACUACAGGAAACACGUUGAGAGUGUGCUAAUGAGCCCAGCCCAAAAUCCAGACCAGCUUCACAAUACAGGCCACCACCCCGAGCUCCAGCCUGCCCCCUAUCAGACCGAAGCAGGGGGGGCACAUCCUGUG